ACGUAGGGGGCAGGCGUUGUCCGGAAUUAUUGGGCGUAAAGGGCGCGCAGGCGGUUCUUAAGUCUGAUGUGAAAGGUCGCGGCUUAACCGCGAACGGUCAUUGGAAACUGAAGGACUUGGGUGCAGAAGAGGAGAGUGGAAUUCCACGUGUAGCGGUGAAAUGCGUAGAGAUGUGGAGGAACACCAGUGGCGAAGGCGACUCUCUGGUCUGUAACUGACGCUGAGGCGCGAAAGCGUGGGGAGCGAACAGGA
rnacentral:rRNA from 1 species